AAAAUAAUUCUGAAUUAUUCAAAAGCCAUUUAAAUAAUUUAAUCAUGAUUUAAAUGAUUAUUUAUCCCAAAUAGCAGUGUACUACCUCCGUGUGACUACAGGGCAACCUGUGGUAGGGCUGUUUUCCAUGUCUGCCAGACUGGGCACAACAGAGACCCAAAAUUCUGUAGCUAUGUUCUGUCAGUGAAGGCACUUCCUUCUCUUUUCCGAAGUCAAGAUGAGAUGGCAAAAUUCUGUAGCUAUGUUCUGUCAGUGAAGACACUUCUUUCUCUUUUCCGAAGUCAAGAUGAGAUGAAAGUGGCACACACAAGUCAGACAAAAGAUCUGUCAGAGGGGAAGAAUGGAGUGGAGUCACAAGUUUGACAAAAGCAGGGAGAAGCUGGGAGCUGCAGCCUGUGGAAGAUGCAAACCAGUCACAAACUGGAAAACAGUGUUUCCCCAGCCACCCUCUUUGGUGACCACUGGAGGCACAGCUAGCAAAUGGACACUGUGGUCAGGAUGCCAAGGAUUACCAAGGGCUUCCAGCUGCAGCCCACCCAGGGCCAUGCAGGAAUUAGAAAAGUGUGAAGCUUCUAUUCUCUGGUGCCAAAUCUCUGAAAACCUCCACCUGUAAUUCUGGUGUUGCCACUUCUAGCUUUUAUUUGAACUUAGGUGACCAGGGGCCAUCUUCUGCUGAAGUUAAACUGGCUGUAAAUCCCUAUUCUGCUGCUGUCAAACUGAGACAGCACUGGCUUCAUGGCUGGCUAAUGGGAAUUGGUGUUCUGAUCUUGGUGGGUGGCUUACAGAUCCUUCUGGGCCUGGCUGCAGCCCUGCCUUUUCACACUCCUGAUGCUUUGACUUGUGCUAAUUGUGGAGCGGCUCUACUGUCAGCCUGCAAGAUUUUUUUUUUCCAUGAGAUGCCAGUCUUUGGACAGCAAGAGUACCACAAAUGAAAGUUAACAGAUAUGAUAAUGAGUGUUCCCCCUCUCUCUUUCUCUUUGUCUCUCUGUCCUUUAGUGCAGUGUGAGUUUGCAGGAGAUUAAUUUUAUGUAAAGUUUUACAUUUCAUGUUGUGAUCAGCAUUUUUUUUUUCUCUUGGCUGGCUCUGAGAAAACAUAUAUUCAAGUUUGGGAAUUCAUCAUGUCUGAUUAAUGAUGUGUAUAUAGAGCUUCCUGUAUCAUCUUCCUUCUUUUGGUCUUUUUUAUUCAGUUGUUUGCUGUACUCCAACCCUGCGGAUAGAUGGUUCUGCAGUGAUAAAUGUAAAGUUUGCAUAAGCCAUGUAACAGCAGGACAGCCUAUUAUCACUGUACAUUUUCCAUGGCUGUGCAAACCUCUGUAGGCUAUUUUAUUGCUAAUAGAUCCACAGAGAAACAGUAGUGAUUUUAUGACUCUUUUUAAAAUGGAAAUUCAUGUUUGAG
rnacentral:lncRNA from 1 species